AUCAACCCUAGCCGACUCCAUCACCCUCAAACACUCUGAAAUAUUCUACCAUCAUCCCUUAUUAUUAGCUUUCGCAUUCGCGAAUUUCUGAGAUUGUUGCUACGUUACAUCAGUAGGCUAUAUCCUCCUUAAUCUCUACGAUUCUUAAUCUUGUUUUCGCAAAACGACCCGUCGACUGCUCGUGCUUCGGAGUCUACGCAGGGUUAGCUGUUUGCCAAGAUCACGUGGAUAAGCAAGCAGUUUAUGAUUUGAAAGCUGGUCCACUCCGAUUCUUUUGAUUCCUCGGAGGUUUUAUGUUAUUUAAACUACUUCUGUUUUCAAACUCUUAGACCGCAGUAGAACUAGUUAGUAUAUUACAUUGUGAUUGCAGUUUGGGAUUAUCGAUUUGAUCGAUUAUUUAUUAUUAGCAUGUCUAUUCUUGAUUACUUUAAUAUUAUAUUUAAGGCAUGCUGUUGAGCAUUUUUGGAUAA